rnacentral:rRNA from 1 species
UACGUAGGGUGCGAGCGUUGUCCGGAAUUAUUGGGCGUAAAGAGCUUGUAGGCGGUCUGUCGCGUCUGCUGUGAAAAUCCGGGGCUCAACCCCGGACUUGCAGUGGGUACGGGCAGACUAGAGUGUGGUAGGGGAGACUGGAAUUCCUGGUGUAGCGGUGAAAUGCGCAGAUAUCUGGAGGAACACCAAUGGCGAAGGCAGCUCGCUGGGACGGUACUGACGCUGAGGCGCGAAAGCGUGGGGAGCAAACAGG